ACAAAUACUAGCCCAAACC
rnacentral:rRNA from 1 species